rnacentral:rRNA from 1 species
AUGUACUCACCAUAUAUGGACACUGAUUUGAGUACCAUACUAUGUACUUGUAGUAUCCACGUGAACAAGAUGUUCUCCGUGGCGUCAGUGGUAUCAAGCCUUGCAACCUCCGUUCUUGGAAAGGCUGCAUCCUUUGGUACUGACUGGGCUGUUAAUGAGAUCAAGUCAGCCUGGAACGCCCAGGAAGAGCUUCACAAGUUGGAAAACUCAUUGAAAUUUAUCUGUGGUGUUCUUCGAGAUGCUGAGGACAGGGAGUCAGCUUCUCAUGUCCUUCACGAGUGGCUGGACUGUUUGAAGGAUGCGGUCUAUGACAUAGAUGAUCUUUUGGACGAUGCGUCCACCGAAGCUCUCAUUCUACAAGUUCAUAAGGGUUUAUCUCGCAUUCAGUCUAUGAGCCUUCUCAUUACUGGUCCAUUCAAAUUGAGUCACAAAAUAGAACAAGUUCGUAAAAAACUUGAUGAGAUAGCAAAGGACAGAGGGCAAUUUGGUUUAAAUGAGCAACCAAUUAUUGACAGCCGGAUGUUCAGGAGCAGCAACAGGGAAACUCAUUCUUUCAUCACCGAAUCAGAUAUUAUUGGAAGAGCUGAAGCCAAAAAGAAGAUAAUUGAAAAGAUAUUGACAGCUAAAGACUCAAAACCCUUGUCUGUUCUUCCGAUUGUCGGUUUAGGAGGAAUUGGAAAAACUGCUUUAGCAAAAUGGAUUUACAAUGAUGUUCAGGUUACCCAGAAUUUUGAGAUGAAAUUAUGGGUUUGUGUAUCUGAUGUGUUUAAUUUAAAAAAGAUCUUGGAUGAUAUAAUACAAUCAGGUACAGGUGAAAGCAACAUGAAGCUAAAUCUAGAGAUGCUGCAAAGGAAGUUGUGUGAACUUUUGAAGGAAAGAAGAUAUUUUCUAGUGCUAGAUGAUCUCUGGAAUGAUAAACUUGCAGACUGGGAAGAGCUGAGAAGGCUGCUGUCUAGUGGUGGAAGAGGAAGUGUCAUUAUAGUUACCACACGCAGUUCAAAUGUUGCAUCAAUGGUGAAGACUAUGGAGCCAUAUGACGUGGAAAAACUGCCAGAUGAUAAGUGCAUGCAAAUAUUUACCCAGUACGCAUUCAGAGGUGAGGAAGAGGACAUGAUGGACCAACAGUUAGUAAGUAUUGGGGAGUCCAUUGUGAAAAAGUGUUGUGGUGUUCCUUUGGCAGCCAGGACGCUGGGUUCCCUAUUGUCAAGAUGUCGAGAUAUUGAAGAAUGGCGACAUGUUCUGGAGGACAAUUUGUGGAAUAUGGAGCAGAACACAGAUGAUAUCUUGCCAGCAUUGAAAUUGAGUUAUGAUGCACUUCCACCUCAUCUACGACCAUGCUUUUCUUGCUUGACAGUUUUUCCAAAAGGCCACACAAUUUACCAGGACAUUUUGAUUAUGUUUUGGAUGGCUCUGGGAUUGAUUCGUCCAUCUAAUAAACGCACUCAGCUACAAACUGGAGAGAAGUAUUUUAAAGAACUACUUGGGAGAUCUUUAUUCCAGGAUCAGUGCGUCCUUUCUGAUAACAGGGUUUUCUACUGUAAAAUGCAUGAUCUUAUUCAUGACCUUGCAACCUUGGUAUCCCAAAAGGAGCAUGCCAUUGUAAGUUCUGAAAAGGUAACAGUCUCUGAGAGUGUCAGGCACCUAGUUUGGGACCGUGAGAACUUCUCCAUAGGACUCAAUUUUCCUGAGGAACUGAAGAAGGCAAAUAAGACAAGAACAUUUACAAUCAGAUCAAGCUUUGGUACCGUGAGCAAAUCCUUCAUUGAUGACCUUUUCUCAAGUUUCACACUCCUCCGUGCUGUGACAUUUUUUGGAGUUGACUUUGAAGUACUGCCGAGUUCCAUUGGAGAUUUGAAGCACCUGAGGUACCUGCUUAUACAGUUUAAUGGCAAACUCAGAUUAUUGCCGAAGUCCUUAGGUAAGCUGGUGAAUUUGGAAAUGCUUCAUCUCUAUGGCUGCAACCAGUUAGAGGAGUUCCCAAAUGAAGCUCGCAACCUUGUUAGCCUUGUAUACUUCAACCUCACAUCAAAGCAGAAGUAUCUAAGGCUGUGUGGUUGGUCCUCUCUCGCAAUUCUGAAAAUGAGCUAUUGCUAUGAACUGAUAUCAUUGGAAGAGGGUUUUGACAGCUUGAGAGCCCUCCGAGAGCUACUCAUCUUUGAUUGUCCGAAGCCGACCGCUCUCCCCUCCAGCAUAUGGCAACUCUCUACACUUGUUGCAUUGAGUAUUAGUGGCUGUGAAGAGUUAGAUUUGAUGGUACCAGCUGGGGAAGCCUCGGGAGGACUAUAUAGUCUUCAGAACCUGCAGCUUGGUCGUCUUCCAAAGGUGACACACCUUCCAGAGAGCUUUAAGUCUGCUUCUUCCUCUCUUCAAUAUAUAGAGAUUGUCGGUUGUGGAAACCUGGAGAGGCUGCCAAGUUACAUCCAAGAUUUCCGUUUUCUUAAGAGAGCCGUGAUUAACGGCUGCCCUGAGCUGAGCAUAAGAUGCGCGGUCGAAUCCGGAGAGGAUUACCCUUUUGUAAGCCAUAUCCCCGAGGUGUACACCGAUGGGACUCCACUGUCAAAAGCAAGCUCACCUGGUGAAGAACGUUCUUCGCUUGAUUGA